CAGCUGUCUAGAGCAGCUGCUACAGAUGGCUGGGAGCAAAGGGGAAGGGUGGAUGUGUGUGGUGUUCCUGCUUAUAAUGUAAAUAUGUACCCGGGAGUGGGGGCAUCUCAGACAAUCCAGCUCAUUCCUUCCAUGAAGUAAUGGUGGCACCCAGGGGAGGCAACCAAAGAGUGAGAGACUGUCAAAGCUGGCUACAGAAGUAUGCACGAGAGAAUAUGGAACAAAACAGGUUUGCCUGACCCCAAGGGAGAUUGUUGUAAGACGUAACAUUCAUCUGCCUGUGACCUGUUUUUCAAGGGCCUGAAGAGAUUCCUUGCCUUAACUCCACUACAUGUCUCACAAGCAGGUAAGAGGUGGUGGCAUAUGAAGCUUCUGAUUGUACCAUGUUGUUGGAUAAGCGUAUCAGCUGAGGAUGUGGACAAGAAUUUUGGAAACUUUAAACAGGGUACUUGGCUUGCCCUUGACCAUCAUGAUGUCUUGCUACAAUUCUUUUUAACAGCUUAGAAAUAGGGUGUGGUGGUUCCUUCAAGAGUAAAAAGAAACUAUAAUUUGCCUUCAAUAAGAAAAGCCUUCUUUUUCUGAUGUAAAUAGUUCUCAUCUAAUUUUGAGUCUGCAUGAUGGAGUGGGCAGCUUGGGACAGCUCCAGGUUCUCUUGGAGAAAAAGGAUUUCUGGACUUACACAAAUUGGGGCAGGAUUCAGAACAGAAAGUGCUUUAUCCUUUUGCAAGCAUCUGAAAACAUGACUGUUUUCGAGCACAUUUUCAUGGGUUGACAUAAUAUGAGAUCAUGGUAUUAGUUAAUUGCUGCUGGUUAGUUAUUCAUAUCUGCUGAGUGUUUUAUUGAUAGGCCUUUGUUUUUCAUUAUGAUUGCUUUUGCUGAUUUUAUUGUUGUUUUAAGAUCUUUAGCUGUUCACGCUUCAGGUGUUGUUCCGAACAGAGAACUGUAGAAUAGAAAUAAGCAAUGAUGUAAUACUUAGAUUCAUAGUUAAACUAAAAACAAAGGGUGGGUAGGAAACAGAAAGAUAUGGAUUAGGGUUGGGAGACCUAGGAUCAAAUCCCAACUCAGCCAUGAAGUUAACUGGGUGACUAUGGGCCAGUCACCAUUUUUUUCAGGUCAACCUGCCUCACUAGCUUGUUGUGGUGAUAAAAUGGAGGGGAGCAUGUAUGCCACUUUGAACUCCUUGGUGGGAUAAAAAUGUCAUUUAAAAAGUAAGUUUACAUGAGAAGAAACACUCCACUAUGUAAUUCUUUAUGGCUUUUUUCUCCCUAUGGAUAGAAACUGUAGUGCUUCCUUUUCCAUAUUGAAAUAUUGGUCCUCAAACUUUUCCUGGUGAAAUGUCUAUGAAAUCACAGUAUAGUAAAUAAAUGAUUUCCACACA